rnacentral:rRNA from 1 species
AACGCGAAGAACCUUACCAACCUUUGACAUGUCCAGUAUGGGUUUAGGAGACUAGAUCCUUCAGUUCGGCUGGCUGGAACACAGGUGCUGCAUGGCUGUCGUCAGCUCGUGUCGUGAGAUGUUGGGUUAAGUCCCGCAACGAGCGCAACCCUCAUCUUUAGUUGCUACCAUUCAGUUGGGCACUCUAAAGAAACCGCCGGUGACAAGCCGGAGGAAGGCGGGGAUGACGUCAAGUCCUCAUGGCCCUUACAGGUUGGGCUACACACGUACUACAAUGGUGGUGACAGUGGGUUGCGAAAUCGCAAGAUCGAGCCAAUCCCCAAAAGCCAUCUCAGUUCAGAUUGCACUCUGCAACUCGAGUGCAUGAAGUUGGAAUCGCUAGUAAUCGCAGAUCAGCACGCUGCGGUGAAUACGUUCCCGGGCCUUGUACACACCGGCUAC